UCAGGUGGCCGCAGAGAAUAGGCCCAAGCGACUGUUUACCAAAAACAUAGGUUUCUGCUAAGUCGCAAGACGAUGUAUAGGAGCUGACGCCUGCCCGGUGCUGGAAGGUUAAGGGGAUCUGUUAGAGCAAUCGAAGCAGUGAACUUAAGCCCCAGUAAACGGCGGCCGUAACUAUAACGGUCCUAAGGUAGCGAAAUUCCUUGUCGGGUAAGUUCCGACCCGCACGAAAGGCGUAACGAUUUGGGCACUGUCUCAACAACAGACUCGGUGAAAUUGUAAUUCCGGUGAAGAUGCCGGAUACCUGCGACAGGACGGAAAGACCCCAUGGAGCUUUACUGUAGCUUGACAUUGGGUCUUGGUACUACAUGUACAGGAUAGGUGGGAGGCUUUGAAACCAGGACGACAGUUUUGGCGGAGCCAUCCUUGGGAUACCACCCUUGUAGUACUGGGACUCUAACCAUAGGCCAUGAAUCUGGUCUUGGGACACUGUCAGGUGGGCAGUGUGACUGGGGCGGUCGCCUCCCAAAAGG
rnacentral:rRNA from 1 species